rnacentral:rRNA from 1 species
GAGUUUGAUCGUGGCUCAGGACGAACGCUGGCGGCGUGCUUAACACAUGCAAGUCGAACGGUGACGACGGAGCUUGCUCUGUCUGAUCAGUGGCGAACGGGUGAGUAACACGUGAGUAACCUGCCCCCGACUCUUGAAUAACCGUGGGAAACGACGGCUAAUACCGGAUAUGAGACGCACAGGCAUCUGCGUGUCUGGAAAGAUUUAUCGGUCAGGGAUGGACUCGCGGCCUAUCAGCUUGUUGGUGGGGUAAUGGCCCACCAAGGCGACGACGGGUAGCCGGCCGUGAGAGGGCGACCGGCCACACUGGGACUGAGAUACGGCCCAGACUCCUAC